UCCUGUGUCAGUAAUGGUUUGGACCAAUUAUCUGUUCAAGAUCGCCGGAAUAAGUUUGAUGAGAGCAGCGUAAGACCGAUCGUCGUGGACAUCUUUGGGAUAAAUGCGGUAGAAGACACAAAUUGAAACGACAUCUAAGCUACACAACGCCAAGAGAUUAAGGGAUUCAGAAGAACUGGAACCCGAUAUCUCAACCUUAUGCUAACAUCAAAAGAAAUUGGAGAAAAUGCAUGACGUUUCAGGUUUUAGGAAGGAGAUAAUAGCAGAAGGCCUGUUGUUUGCCGGAUCCGAGCUGUCACUGUGAAAAUCGGAUAGACAGCCUAAGUAAAGUCUGAACAAAGUCUAAGUACGCUCUAUUGAUCUCAUCCUUAGUGCAAAUGCGGAACAAGCUCAAUGGUAUAAUUGCAAUCGGCCUGCUCAACUUCUGAACUUCCUAGGAAUACAGAGCUCAAAGAACAGUUUUCUGUCUGAAUCGUACUUCCGACAUAGAGCUCUGAACUGCGGCUUGGACGGCGAUGUCACCUCAGCCCUUGACAACAACCGAACAAUAUCGUGGCUUUAUCAUUUAUAACACUGUUUUAAUUAAU